rnacentral:rRNA from 1 species
UACGUAGGGUGCAAGCGUUGUCCGGAAUUAUUGGGCGUAAAGAGCUUGUAGGCGGUUUGUCGCGUCUGCUGUGAAAUUUCGGGGCUCAACCCCCGAACUUGCAGUGGGUACGGGCAGACUAGAGUGUGGUAGGGGAGACUGGAAUUCCUGGUGUAGCGGUGAAAUGCGCAGAUAUCGAGAGGAACACCUGCGGCGAAGGCGGGUUGCUGGGCCGACACUGACGCUGAUGCGCGAAAGCCAGGGGAGCGAACGGG